rnacentral:misc_RNA from 1 species
GAGUGAGAGUAACAUGUAUCCUAAAUCUAAACAAAUCGAUGGUGUGCGUCUUGCCAGAUUAAUCUGGCCUAAGUGUGUUUCCUUUCUGUACAUUAUCGUUUAUCAACCUCGAGAACUCCAUUACAUGAGCUAUUUGGAUUGAUAUGAUGUCGUAAUGGUCUUUGAACACAAUUUGCACCUGGUUUUUAUCAUAUGUGAAUAUUUG